UGCCCAUGGCGGCGGUCUUACCAUGCAGUCGAACGAUGAAGCCCUUCGGGGUGGAUUAGUGGCGAACGGGUGAGUAACACGUGGGCAAUCUGCCCUUCACUCUGGGACAAGCCCUGGAAACGGGGUCUAAUACCGGAUGAUACUUCCACUCGCAUGGGUGGGGGUUGAAAGCUCCGGCGGUGAGGGAUGAGCCCGCGGCCUAUCAGCUUGUUGGUGAGGUAGAAGCUCACCAAGGCGACGACGGGUAGCCGGCCUGAGAGGGCGACCGGCCACACUGGGACUGAGACACGGCCCAAACUCCUACGGGAGGCAGCAGUGGGGAAUAUUGCACAAUGGGCGAAAGCCUGAUGCAGCGACGCCGCGUGAGGGAUGACGGCCUUCGGGUUGUAAACCUCUUUCAGCAGGGAAGAAGCGAAAGUGACGGUACCUGCAGAAAAAGCGCCGGCUAACUACGUGCCAGCAGCCGCGGUAAUACGUAGGGCGCAAGCGUUGUCCGGAAUUAUUGGGCGUAAAGAGCUCGUAGGCGGUCUGUCGCGUCGGAUGUGAAAGCCCGGGGCUUAACCCCGGGUCUGCAUUCGAUACGGGCAGACUAGAGUGUGGUAGGGGAGAUCGGAAUUCCUGGUGUAGCGGUGAAAUGCGCAGAUAUCAGGAGGAACACCGGUGGCGAAGGCGGAUCUCUGGGCCAUUACUGACGCUGAGGAGCGAAAGCGUGGGGAGCGAACAGGAUUAGAUACCCUGGUAGUCCACGCCGUAAACGGUGGGAACUAGGUGUUGGCGACAUUCCACGUCGUCGGUGCCGCAGCUAACGCAUUAAGUUCCCCGCCUGGGGAGUACGGCCGCAAGGCUAAAACUCAAAGGAAUUGACGGGGGCCCGCACAAGCAGCGGAGCAUGUGGCUUAAUUCGACGCAACGCGAAGAACCUUACCAAGGCUUGACAUCGCCCGGAAAGCAUCAGAGAUGGUGCCCCCUUGUGUCGGGUGACAGUGUGCAUGCUGUCGUCAGCUCGUGUCGUGAGAUGUUGGUUAAGUCCCGCACGAGCGCAACCCUUGUCUGUGUGCAGCACGCCUUCGGGUGUGGGACUCACAGAACUGCGGUCACUCGGAGAGUGGGACGACGUCAGUCAUCAUGCCUUAUUCUGGGCUGCACACCGUGCUUACAUGGCAGGUCCAUG
rnacentral:rRNA from 1 species